rnacentral:rRNA from 1 species
UACGUAGGGGGCAAGCGUUGUCCGGAUUUAUUGGGCGUAAAGAGCGUGUAGGCGGCUAGGUAGGUCCGUUGUGAAAACUCGAGGCUCAACCUCGAGACGUCGAUGGAAACCAUCUAGCUAGAGUCCGGAAGAGGAGAGUGGAAUUCCUGGUGUAGCGGUGAAAUGCGCAGAUAUCAGGAAGAACACCGAUGGCGAAGGCAGUGGUCUGGGCCGAAACUGACGCUGAGGAGCGAAAGUGUGGGGAGCGAACAGG